rnacentral:rRNA from 1 species
CCGGCACGGGUGAGUAACGCGUAUGCGACCUGCCCGUUGCAGGGGGAUAAUCGGGAGAAAUCCCGUCUAAUACCGCGUAACGCCGCGGGGCUGCAUGGCCCUGCGGCCAAAGGGAGCGAUUCCGGCAACGGAUGGGCAUGCGUGACAUUAGCUAGUUGGCGGGGCAACGGCCCACCAAGGCGACGAUGUCUAGGGGUUCUGAGAGGAAGGUCCCCCCACACUGGUACUGAGACACGGACCAGACUCCUACGGAAGGCAGCAG